AUGAUUGGUACUUUAACUUUUUGCUACGGUAUGAAAAGAGGUGGGACUAAAUAGGCUCUGCUUCUUCCUAUUACUUUUCGGACGUGCUGUAAUGAAACAACUGGAAAUGUGUGACACAUUACAUUGUAUUGUAUGCAUGUUCCAAAAAAACUGAAACUGAAACGGUUCAAAAACAAAAACCCAACUAUUUACCUUUGAGAGCUGUGGUUUUCUCACCAUCCUCCUGAAUGGCCACCUGGGCCAUGGCGGUCAAUAAUGUGCACAGAGCGAGUUCAGCACCACCAAGAUGAAGGAUGAGCAUCUGAUCUGCUCCCACAAAUCCCCAGGCAACAAAGACACAAACAGUGGCACGGAAAGACAAGGACAACAGCACGUUGGUUUCGGUUUGACUCACACGCCUGAAACAGUCCACUUGCAGGAUGCUUCCUGGAUGACGGCUUUCAAACAGGAAGUGCUCUGAGGCGCAGGCGCGUGGGAGGUUCGCUGACAGGUGUCGGCUGAGCCCAGCACCUGUCUACAAUUGGAACACAGAGCGGUUUAUUCAAGGAAGACUGAAGAAGAAAAGAAGGAAUAUCCAAUAAGUCAUGUGACAGAAAGCAGUUAUUCUGCCAGAGCCAUUUAGCAAGUCAAACACUUGCCUCACCCAACUGAAACGGUUUUGUUAUGUUAAAUACACUGCAUUUACCAAGAUUAAUGGCGCUCUUGUUGCUGUUUAGGCUCGGUUCUGCUGCAACAGAGACGGAAUUGACUUUGCUGAGCAUUUUAUUGUCUUUUGUGUCGUCUUAAGUGGUUCGGUAAUUGUAAUCUGGCUCCAUUUGCAUUAAACGCCAAGC